rnacentral:lncRNA from 1 species
UUUUUUUUUUUACUUCGUGGUGAGAACAGGGAAGGCCACCCGAUUUCGUAUGGGAAGGAAAGAGGCCGCCUGUAUUUAUAGUCGUCCCAUCAUCAUUAAGGGUGAUAUGACAUUCCACCACCUAUUAUAUGCUAAGCCAUUUUUUUUUAUUUUGUGGUGAGAACCGAAAAGGCCACCCAAUUUCGUACGAAAAGGGUGGAGAAAGGCCGCCCGUAUAUAUAGCCAUCCCAUCAACAACAUGGCAUUCUGCCUAUGACCGAUUGUUGCCCUAAGAGUGGAGAGGCAUGAUCUAGAGCUUAAGAUAAAUACUAUUGUACCACUCCCCCCAACUCUUGCCUUUGCAUUGUUUUUUUAAUAAAAAACAAUUUUAGCUUGAUUUUUACCGGUAGAGACUGUAAACCUACGGAUUGCAGGUCUAAAUGGAUAAUUUGGAUUCGGGUCACAUCGGAUCGAGUCGUUGGAUAAAUGAUCUAAAAUUGACCCCAAAAAAAAUGGAUCGAGUCAGCUCUCUGAGUCGAGUUAAGAUUCAGCAAACCCAGACCCGACCUGAAAAAUAGAACAAAACCAAUUUUAAGACCCGACCUGACCCCGUAGGUCCUCCAAAUUAGGUCGAAUCAAGUCUAAGUGAGUCGAAUCGGGUCAUAAGUCAAUCCAACCCAUUUGCAGCUUUCGCUCCGAGACAAGGAGAUCCUAUCUUCACAAAUCAUCUCUUCAUUUAGCACUCCUACUUCUACCUACAGCUACUACAGAUAAAUUGGUGGAUUCAUGGAUAAUGAGACACAAAUUUACAGUACAUAUAACCAGACACCCUACUCUCUCUUCACAAUAUACAGUAAAAUGGUAUGCGGUCCUAUUACACUUCCAUUCCACAACACAAGGCAUAUCACAACUUAGAGACAGGUAAAAAGAAACACUGUUAAUGUAAUUAUGCAAGAUCUUCAGCUAGCCUGAACAGCAUUUACUUUAUCAGCCCCCACCACAGAGGGCUCCU